GAAAUGCGAUACUUGGUGUGAAUUACAGAAUCUCGUGAACCAUCGAGUCUUUGAAUGCAAGUCACACCCGGAAGCCAUUAGGUUGAUGGCAUGUCUACCUGGGUGUCUCACGUUGUGUCGCCCGUACCCCUUCCUCCUGAAGAGAAGGGUUACAGGCGGAUAUUGCCCUUCGCUUGCGCCCACAUGCGAUUGGCCUAAAAAUAAGUCCCCUGCGACAGACGACACGUCACGACAAGUGGUGGUAAAAAACCGUUACGUCACCUCGAGCGUGUCCGAGUCAUCGCAGGAGGUCUAUUGUGACCCUAUCGUGCCACUGCCAAGGUGCUCUGAUCGUAACCCCAGGUCAGGCAGGAUUACCCGCUAAGUUUAA
rnacentral:misc_RNA from 1 species